rnacentral:lncRNA from 10 species
AAGACAUCUCAUCAGGAUGAACUGGGGCAAGGCAGCCUCCAGAAACACACCUGGGUCUCUGGGCAGUCAUCUGCAGGCGAUUGCCUCCAGGUGUUUGCCAGUGGGAACCCAUUGAAAGUCGAUGCAAUUUAGAGCAAUUUCUCUGGCAGUGGAAAUUAACCUGCAGGAAUCUGCCGGCAACAGGUGUAUUUUAGGGCAGACAUACCAGCGUCCUGCACUGUGGAGACAGGACUUUGACUACCAGGUGUAGUGCAGAAGGCUGGAUAAUUGGAGGAGGCAGAAAAUUAGUGCAGAGAAGAUGGCCAAAUUGCAGGUCAGCAUGGUUUGGUGUAAUUAUUGGUUAACCCUCUCCUGUCUGUUAACCAAAAACUACUUGUGUGUUUGAGGAACCAGGAAAUCUGCACUGAAGGGACAAGAAUUAUCACUCCCUGCCCAAGCCAACUGAAUUUUUUGAUAGCUAAGGUUUUCAGCAAAUUGUUUUUGGUUUAGUGUUUGAUACUCAGACGAUUGCCAGGAAAACACAGGAAGAAGUGAAUUUUAAGUGCUUGAAAGCCUCCUGACUCAGAAACAAACCUAAUUUUACCUAGUGUGUUUGCCACUUUUUAUCUCUUUUGAAAAGACUUAUAGGGAGGAAUGUACAUAAUCAGGAAAGGGCAUCUAUGCUCUGUACCUCCGAUUCUCCUUGACAGAUGCAAAAAGCUAAUUGGUAUUAGCAAAUGUGCCCAUUGAAAGCAAGCAUAUUUUAGUAACACAAGUGUACACUGUAGUGAUGUUUCUGAGGUCAUCAGAGAAGAUUUGCCAGAGGCUUUCGCUUACCCAAGGGAAGUAAUGUUAAAGGGUCAUGUGUUUUUCUGAAGCAAAGUAUCGCUUUUACAGAGAAAUGGCUGCUACCUAGGGCCAGUGCCUUCACAGUGAGUGCCAAUGUGUUUCACAGUCCAUGCUCACCUCUGGUAAUUUCCAAAAUCUGUCAUCAAAAUGAUCCAGAUCAUGAACUCAGAGAGAAACAACCCAUACUGGCUUGUCUGACCUCCCUGAUAGUCUAUCAACGAGAUUGAUUCUAUCUCAGUCUUACGGAUGCAAUUCUUCAUAUCCAAAAGAUACUGCCAUUUGUAGCACUUGUUCUAAGGCAGCAAAAGCAGCAGGAAGGACCAAUUCUACCUACAGCACAGGAUUCCAGAGAUGUCUUGAUUUUUAUUAAUGUUGGUUUCAAUGGAUGUUCCCCAGGUUUGUAAUGAGAUUUUAAUAUUGAGAAAAUCUCUGUCUUUGGCUCCUAGUUGAGUCAAUAGCAUGACUCAACUUGCUUUUUUCAUGAGUCUGUCCUUAGUAGCAGUGCAAUAAGUGACAAGUUACUUGACUCAUCUAAGGUCCACAUUCGUCUUCUGUUAAACAUGGGAGGUGUUUGUGUGAACUGAAUAAAGCAAUGUGUGAAAAGGUAUUUGGAAGACUAUGUAACGCUUUAUAAAUGGCAGGUAUUGUAUAUGUUUAUUUGAAAUAAAUUAAUACAUGCUUCACAAUUAGGCUAGCCAUAGUACUGAUUAGCAUGCUAGGAAUAGUAUAAUGAUUAGCUCAGGUUAAGAGCACUCUCUGGAGUCAGACUGCCUGGAUUCAAAUCCUGGCUCCUCCACUUGAGCUGGGUGACCUUGAAAAUGUUCUUAACCUCUGUGUCAGUCUUCUCAGCUGUAAAGUGGUGCUAAUUAAAGUGCCUAUCUCAAAGAGCGGUUUAGAGGACUUAAUAGUUGAUAGAUCUAAAGUACUUAGAACAUUUCCUGGCAUAGAGUAAGUGCUCAUGAAAUAUUAGCUAUUAUCAUCAUCAUCGUCAUCAUCUGAGGUAAAAUUUGAACUAUGAAAAUAAGUGAUGAAGCUAUUUGUAAGAGAGGACUGCUUUUACCUUGGAGUUUAUUCUUUUAUGCUUUUGGAAACCAAGUAAUUACUUGUAUUAUUAUAUUACUACUACAUUUUUUCGAGACAGAGUCUCACUCUGUCACCCAGGCUGGAAUGUGGUGGCGUAAUCUUGGCUCACUGCAACCUCCACCUCUGGAGUUCAAGUGAUUGUCCUGC